GCUAGCACCGAGAGUGAGUUUCUUUUUUUGAGUUUCAUUUAAUUUCAGUUUUGUUUCUUUUAAAAAGAGGGGGGAAAGUGAACCCCGCUGAAAAGUCGGAGGCAUGUGACACAACUUCCGGCUUAUAUAUAAAUGUCCUUCCAACUUGGGGAAAUGAACCAUCUUUCACUGCGUGGCAGUGAUGACUGGACCAUAACAGGCAAACCUGUGUGUGGGCAAACAUCCACUUAUUGCUCUCAUAUCUGAAUCACAGGCACUCUUUUUUAAAUUUUUUUUUUUAGUUUUUUCAUAAAAUGGCUACUGUUUUAGAGCGACAUGAAGAGAGACAUGGUUUAUGAUGAUGCAUGGUCCAUGUUGUUCUUCACAAAUCCUGUCCAAUUAAAAAAUACCAGUUGGUUCCUGUAAAUGACUGCACAUCAGGAAAGGAGUGGGAAACACGUUUACAGCCUGCCGGUUGCCAGAGGUGGUUGAAGUCGAGUCCCUUCGGCCCGAAGAGACUCAGCCCUCACACAACAUCCAGACACGGACGGCGGGAGGCGACAACUUGAAAAAUAUGAAAUGUCACCCCCCCCCCCCCUCCUGACCCCCAAGGAAGCCCCCUCGUUGUGUGCUCUCUCUACCUGGAUGGCCAGACCUGAAUGCUAAAUGUCAGGUUUUUUUUGGCAUCUUUUUUAAAAUCAAACUGACCUCACCACUCUUAACGGAAGGAGCUUUCUGGAAAAAUGUUCUUGUUUUUUUCUUUCUUUUUUUCUGAAUGUUAAUUUGUGAAAGCCAACAAAAUUAAUGCAUACACAUGUGAAUAGAUUUAUCAGGAUUACCACAUCUAGGUUACUUUGUUGGUUUUCAUUUCCUGAAAAAUAAUUAUCUGUUUAUAACAGCUGUUUAUAAAAACUGUUUGGUUUAAAAUUU